rnacentral:rRNA from 1 species
GACGAACGCUGGCGGCGUGCCUAAUACAUGCAAGUAGAACGCUGAAGGAGGAGCUUGCUCUUCUGGAUGAGUUGCGAACGGGUGAGUAACGCGUAGGUAACCUGCCUGGUAGCGGGGGAUAACUAUUGGAAACGAUAGCUAAUACCGCAUAACAGUAGAUGUUGCAUGACAUUUGCUUAAAAGGUGCAAUUGCACCACUACCAGAUGGACCUGCGUUGUAUUAGCUAGUUGGUGGGAUAACGGCUCACCAAGGCGACGAUACAUAGCCGACCUGAGAGGGUGAUCGGCCACACUGGGACUGAGACACGGCCCAGACUCCUACGGGAGGCAGCAGUAGGGAAUCUUCGGCAAUGGACGGAAGUCUGACCGAGCAACGCCGCGUGAGUGAAGAAGGUUUUCGGAUCGUAAAGCUCUGUUGUAAGAGAAGAACGAGUGUGAGAGUGGAAAGUUCACACUGUGACGGUAUCUUACCAGAAAGGGACGGCUAACUACGUG